rnacentral:rRNA from 1 species
UACGUAGGUGGCGAGCGUUAUCCGGAAUUACUGGGUGUAAAGGGUGUGUAGGCGGGGAAGCAAGUCAGAUGUGAAAAUUAUGGGCUCAACUCAUAACCUGCAUUUGAAACUGUUUUUCUUGAGAGUGGGAGAGGUAAACGGAAUUCCUGGUGUAGUAGUGAAAUGCGUAGAUAUCAGGAGGAACACCGGUGGCGAAGGCGGUUUACUGGACCACAACUGACGCUGAGACACGAAAGCGUGGGGAGCAA